GCGCAAUUGGUCUAGUGGUAUGAUUCUCGCUUAGGGACAACUCUAAGUCUAAGAAAAUGCGAGAGGUCCCAGGUUCGAUCCCUGGAUUGCGCC